AACGAACGCUGGCGGCAGGCUUAACACAUGCAAGUCGAACGGUUGUAGCAAUACAGCAGUGGCAGACGGGUGAGUAACACGUGGGAACCUUCCUAGGGGUACGGAACAACUCAGGGAAACUUGAGCUAAUACCGUAUACGUCCGUGAGGAGAAAGAUUUAUCGCCCUUAGACGGGCCCGCGUAGGAUUAGGUAGUUGGUGGGGUAAUGGCCUACCAAGCCUACGAUCCUUAGCUGAUCUGAGAGGAUGAUCAGCCACACUGGGACUGAGACACGGCCCAGACUCCUACGGGAGGCAGCAGUGGGGAAUCUUGCGCAAUGGGCGAAAGCCUGACGCAGCGACGCCGCGUGAGGGAUGACGGCCU
rnacentral:rRNA from 1 species